rnacentral:rRNA from 1 species
CCUCGCACUUCGGGAUAAGCCUGGGAAACUGGGUCUAAUACCGGAUAGGAGCCAUUUUUAGUGUGAUGGUUGGAAAGUUUUUCGGUGUAGGAUGAGCUCGCGGCCUAUCAGCUUGUUGGUGGGGUAAUGGCCUACCAAGGCGGCGACGGGUAGCCGGCCUGAGAGGGUGGACGGCCACAUUGGGACUGAGAUACGGCCCAG